rnacentral:lncRNA from 1 species
GUUUAAGCACAUAUUUCAAACAACUUGACCCCUGAAAAUGAAGUACAUGCACACUCUGAAAGUUCAUUGCUAUUCAGGACUCAAGCGUAUUUCACGCAUAUUUCAACUUAAGCAUAUUUCCUAAAACAAUUCAGUUUUAUAUUCAGAUUUAUAUUCUCCAAAGAACAUUUUUUUCCUCUUCUAAGAGCUAAGAACUGCACUUAGCAUACAUAAGGCAACUUAAUGAAGAAAACAAAUCCCAGGGUAGCCUCCCAUUGCCAAACACCCGUUCAGCCACAGUCACACUGAGAGUCAGUGCUUCAGGCUGCACACAUCAUGGAUCUGAGCCUACUGUGUUGAAUAUACAUGAAUAAGGUAAAUGGUAACGUUUCUGCAUUAGCCUGUGGUGGAAUGACUGAGGAAGCUGCAGGUGAAGCCUUUACUGCAAUGACAUUUCACAGCUUUGAGCAUCUGUAGGUUCUUGAUUAUGGUAAUUCAUCAUUUGGGCUUUCUUUGACUCAAAUAGGAAGAAUUCUUCAUAAUUCUCACCAUUAUGAUUCAAGCGUGGUUUACCUACAUGUUCGGUAGCAGGCCAAAUUUACCAUAGAUCAGCUGCCAAAGUAUUUCAAAGCCUGUCCCUUCCUGUAAUUUAGCCUCCACGAUUUCAGUUAUGAGAGUGCAUAUGACCUCUUGCAUUACGUAAUUUUCUCAUUUUGAAACAUCACUUGCUGGUUAGAAAUCCCACACAUACAUACACACACAGAAAGCCCACUUUGGAGCUUUGCUUUCUACAGGACUUGCACUAUUUGCAUUUUUUUUUUUUUAGUCCUUAGUCUAGCCUUUCUCCACAGUCAUCCACUGGAUUCUGAAGACUCACCAGGGCAGGGGCUGCAACCGUCUCUUGAAUCUCUACAACAAUAUGAAGUCGCAGCACCACAUCCACCUUUAAUUGCCGAAUUUAAGGGGCAGAGUGUAGAGCACAAAGAAUGUAUUUCUUCCUGACACAAAGGAACCAAGAAGAAGAGUUCAACCCUGUAUCUGCGGCGUGCCUGAAACAUCUUUCAAGAGGCAGCAUGUCCUGGAAAAUAGGAAUACUUGAAUAGGGCACAAAAUGCUGCAGUGCAAUGCUCCCUGUGGCAUUUCUGGUCUGCUUGUCUGGAACAAGUCACUUCACCUCAGUGCCUCACUGUACGUGUACCUCCAGUGGAGAUCACACAGCCUCCUUUGGAAAGCAUUUUGACAUCUCUGGAUGAAGAAUUCUGUAAGAACUAAAGAGUAUCUCCA